UGAGGAACAUGACCUUCGGCGGGGGAUAGCCGGCCCAACGGCCGGGUAAUACCGCGUACGACCACAUGGGGACAUCCCUGAGUGGCGAAAGCAGCAAUGCGCCGAUGGAGUGCCUCGCGGCCUAUCAGCUAGUUGGUGGGGUAAUGGCUCACCAAGGCAACGACGGGUAGCUGGUCUGAGAGGAUGGCCAGCCACAUUGGGACUGAGACACGGCCCAGACCUNUACGGGAGG
rnacentral:rRNA from 1 species